AGCCUGAUGCAGCCAUGCCGCGUGUGUGAAGAAGGCCUUCGGGUUGUAAAGCACUUUCAGUAAGGAGGAAAGGUUAAGUGUUAAUAGCACUUAGCUGUGACGUUACUUACAGAAGAAGCACCGGCUAACUCCGUGCCAGCAGCCGCGGUAAUACGGAGGGUGCGAGCGUUAAUCGGAAUUACUGGGCGUAAAGCGUACGCAGGCGGUUUGUUAAGCGAGAUGUGAAAGCCCCGGGCUCAACCUGGGAACUGCAUUUCGAACUGGCAAACUAGAGUGUGAUAGAGGGUGGUAGAAUUUCAGGUGUAGCGGUGAAAUGCGUAGAGAUCUGAAGGAAUACCGAUGGCGAAGGCAGCCACCUGGGUCAACACUGACGCUCAUGUACGAAAGCGUGGGGAGCAAACAGGAUUAGAUACCCUGGUAGUCCACGCCGUAAACGAUGUCUACUAGAAGCUCGACUCUUCGGAGUUGUUUUUCAAAGCUAACGCAUUAAGUAGACCGCCUGGG
rnacentral:rRNA from 2 species